ACCGCGGUUUGAACCCUGGACCCAAUGGCUUGAAAAUCACAACAGAUGCAUGUGUGUAUGCACCCAAAAUCAUGAGAGGAGAAUGAAGGAAAGGAGACUACUGCAUGGUCAUCUCCUUGUGGCGUGAGAGAUUUGGAGUCCUGAUGUGAGACAAAAACAUUUUUAA